rnacentral:rRNA from 1 species
UACGAAGGGUGCAAGCGUUACUCGGAAUUACUGGGCGUAAAGCGUGCGUAGGUGGUUGUUUAAGUCUGUUGUGAAAGCCCUGGGCUCAACCUGGGAACUGCAGUGGAAACUGGACAACUAGAGUGUGGUAGAGGGUAGCGGAAUUCCCGGUGUAGCAGUGAAAUGCGUAGAGAUCGGGAGGAACAUCCAUGGCGAAGGCAGCUGCCUGGACCAACACUGACACUGAGGCACGAAAGCGUGGGGAGCAAACAGG